CUUCUGUCUUGUGAUCGCCGGAUGCUCAACUGUGUGGAGGUAAGGAACUAUGCCGUUCUCUCUCUCUCGGUAAAUCCUUGCCUCUCACAGUUGAGUGUCUAGGACUCUGCGACUGUCCCCU
rnacentral:precursor_RNA from 12 species